GAUGAAGAACGUAGCGAAAUGCGAUAAGUAAUGUGAAUUGCAGAAUUCAGUGAAUCAUCGAAUCUUUGAACGCACAUUGCGCCCGCCAGUAUUCUGGCGGGCAUGCCUGUUCGAGCGUCAUUACAACCCUCAGGCCCCCGGGCCUGGCGUUGGGGAUCGGCGGAAGCCCCCUGUGGGCACACGCCGUCCCUCAAAUACAGUGGCGGUCCCGCCGCAGCUUCCAUUGCGUAGUAGCUAACACCUCGCAACUGGAGAGCGGCGCGACCAUGCCGUAAAACACCCAACUUCUGAAUGUUGACCUCGAAUCAGGUAGGAAUACCCGCUGAACUUAAGCAUAUCAAUAAGCGGAGGA
rnacentral:misc_RNA from 1 species